rnacentral:rRNA from 1 species
GAUUCUGGCUCAGGAUGAACGCUGGCGGCGUGCCUAACACAUGCAAGUCGAACGGAGUAAUUAAGCGGAAGUUUCGGAUGGAAGCAUAGUUACUUAGUGGCGGACGGGUGAGUAACGCGUGGGCAACCUGCCCUGUACCGGGGGAUAACACUUAGAAAUAGGUGCUAAUACCGCAUAAGCGCACAGCUUCGCAUGAAGGUGUGUGAAAAACUCCGGUGGUACAGGAUGGACCCGCGUCUGAUUAGCUAGUUGGUGGGGUAGAGGCCUACCAAGGCGACGAUCAGUAGCCGGCCUGAGAGGGUGACCGGCCACAUUGGGACUGAGACACGGCCCAAACUCCUACGGGAGGCAGCAGUGGGGAAUAUUGCACAAUGGGGGAAACCCUGAUGCAAGCGACGCCGCGUGAGUGAAGAAGUAUUUCGGUAUGUAAAGCUCUAUCAGCAGGGAAGAAAAUGACGGUACCUGACUAAGAAGCCCCGGCUAACUACGUGCCAGCCGCAGC